rnacentral:rRNA from 1 species
AUUGAACGCUGGCGGCAUGCCUUACACAUGCAAGUCGAACGGCAGCACGGGAGCUUGCUCCUGGUGGCGAGUGGCGAACGGGUGAGUAAUACAUCGGAACGUACCCUGAAGUGGGGGAUAACGUAGCGAAAGUUACGCUAAUACCGCAUAUUCUGUGAGCAGGAAAGAGGGGGAUCGCAAGACCUCUUGCUUUAGGAGCGGCCGAUGUCGGAUUAGCUAGUUGGUGAGGUAAAGGCUCACCAAGGCGACGAUCCGUAGCGGGUCUGAGAGGAUGAUCCGCCACACUGGGACUGAGACACGGCCCAGACUCCUACGGGAGGCAGCAGUGGGGAAUUUUGGACAAUGGGCGCAAGCCUGAUCCAGCCAUGCCGCGUGAGUGAAGAAGGCCUUCGGUUGUAAGACUCUUCGUGGGAGAAUUAGCACAGGAGUAAUACCUUAGUGUAG